rnacentral:rRNA from 1 species
GAUGAACGCUGGCGGCGUGCCUAAUACAUGCAAGUAGAACGCUGAAGGAGGAGCUUGCUCUUCUGGAUGAGUUGCGAACGGGUGAGUAACGCGUAGGUAACCUGCCUGGUAGCGGGGGAUAACUAUUGGAAACGAUAGCUAAUACCGCAUGACAACAGUUAUUGCAUGAUAACUGUUUAAAAGGGGCAACUGCUCCACUACCAGAUGGACCUGCGUUGUAUUAGCUAGUUGGUGAGGUAACGGCUCACCAAGGCGACGAUACAUAGCCGACCUGAGAGGGUGAUUGGCCACACUGGGACUGAGACACGGCCCAGACUCCUACGGGAGGCAGCAGUAGGGAAUCUUCGGCAAUGGACGGAAGUCUGACCGAGCAACGCCGCGUGAGUGAAGAAGGUUUUCGGAUCGUAAAGCUCUGUUGUAAGAGAAGAACGAGUGUGAGGGUGGAAAGUUCACACUGUGACGGUAUCUUACCAGAAAGGGACGGCUAACUACGUG